rnacentral:rRNA from 1 species
AUUGAACGCCGGCGGCAUGCUUUACACAUGCAAGUCGAACGGCAGCGGGGGCUUCGGCCUGCCGGCGAGUGGCGAACGGGUGAGUAAUGCAUCGGAACGUGCCCAUGUCGUGGGGGAUAACGUAGCGAAAGCUACGCUAAUACCGCAUACGUCCUGAGGGAGAAAGCGGGGGAUCUUUGGACCUCGCGCGAUUGGAGCGGCCGAUGUCGGAUUAGCUAGUAGGUGAGGUAAAGGCUCACCUAGGCGACGAUCCGUAGCGGGUCUGAGAGGAUGAUCCGCCACACUGGGACUGAGACACGGCCCAGACUCCUACGGGAGGCAGCAGUGGGGAAUUUUGGACAAUGGGGGCAACCCUGAUCCAGCCAUGCCGCGUGAGUGAAGAAGGCCUCGGUG